rnacentral:rRNA from 1 species
GACACGGGCCCGACUCCACGGGAGCAGCAGUAGGGAAUAUUGGACAAUGGGGCGCAAGCCUGAUCCAGCCAUCCCGCGUGAAGGAUGAAGGUCUUCGGAUUGUAAACCUCUGUCACUGGGGAAGAAAACGCUUUGAGUUAAUAGUUCAAAGCCUGAUUUAACCCGGAGAGGAAGCAGUGGCUAACUCUGUGCCAGCAGCCGCGGUAAUACAGAGACUGCAAGCGUUAUUCGGAUUCACUGGGCGUAAAAGGGUGCGCAGGCGGUUGGGGUGUGUCAGAUGUGAAAAUCCCCGAGGCUUAACCUCGGAACUGCGUCUGAAAACUACUCGACUAGAGUACUGGAGAGGGAAACGGAAUUCACGGUGUAGCAGUGAAAUGCGUAGAUAUCGUGAGGAACACCAGAGGCGAAGGCGGUUUCCUGGACAGUUACUGACGCUCAGGCACGAAAGCAUGGGG